UAAUUGUGGCAGGAUUAAUUGGCUCAGGUGCAGUGGGGAGGAUAAUGACAGGCAGUGGCCUCAUGGGGCGCUAUAAAAGGCCAAGAAACCCUCACUUGGUCAUGGGCAGCAUUUGGAAGCGCCCACUUCCUGUUGCACAUCUUCGGUUCACAGAGUUGCAGAGUCAUCACACUGAGAGAUUCCAUGCCGCAAAUAGCGUCAGUUAGCCGCUUCCUCAGGAUUUCAGCCAGUUGCUGAGCAGCUGUUUUUGUUACUGUUGUGGCCUGACGUUGAAGCUCAAUGUGGAGCAUUCUCAUCAUGGGAAUGACCUUUGACCCAGAGACCCUUGCAGCUUGGUCAAAAGGAGCAAGAACCCUGAGCAUCUCUUCAAUGAUCUGACAUUCUUCUGGAGUCAGUGGAGUGACGUCAGGUUUUAAUGAGGCCAGUGACACCCAGACUGCCUCCUUCUGCUCAGUCAUUCUCUCAAACAUUUGGUAGGUACUGUUCCAUCGUGUUGGCACCUCGUUUAUUCAUUUAUGGCCCGAUGUUCCCAGCUGUUGCUGUAUUUGAGUGAGCUUCUCUUUAGCAGUCAUGCUCGAUCGAAAGUAUGUCACAAUGUGUCGUGUUUUGUUGUGUAUUUCAGUUAUUGUUGGUAUUUGAUCACAUGAUUUUCUCACGAUUAAAUUCAGGGAAUGGGCUAUACAAAUGGUAUGCCGUAUUUGCAGCAUUCCAGCACAUGCAGUCAUGUUUGCUGCUGCAUCAGUGACAAGACACCUGACCUUUCCUGCUAUGCCCAUCGCUAACUUUCGUUUGGCUGUCUCUUUCUUUCACUUCUUUUGCAUGUUUAAUUACAUUGAGAUUUUGGCUUGAAUCACACCUCUUGCAGUUGUUCCAACUUUAGCUGCAGCACAACUUCACUCAGCCGGUCCUGUAGUUCCUCCAACUCCAUCUUUGUCUUUGUCUUCCUGAUCUCCGCUCUUCAACAGCACAGCUGAUCCCACUUCUGACACCAGUUUUAGUUGCAUACUUGACAGGAUGACCAGGAAGAAAGUGGAUUUUUUUUUUUUUUAUUUUUUUUUUUUAAGUUAACCUUUAGUAACCAGCUAGAACACAAACAGCACACAGUCAACUUCUGUCUGUGUCUCAUUGAACAGGCUCAGUAUGCCGCUCUUCUGGCCUGCUCAGUAAAGGGAAUCUUCUCUUUUGUGGUGAGACAGAAGAACCGCUGUACUCUGUUCAGUAAGCUGAGUGCUGUUUUAUGACCAUGAGUAUCAUUGAGUUACAAAAAAGAAAACAUUCAGAAAAACAUGGAGGUAUGUGACAAAUGUAUUAACAUUUAUUGCUUCCCCUUACAUCUGCUCUAACCACAGCUGCAUUUCCUCUGCACUUCUCAAUAGAAUUUAGUGUAAACUGUGUAUGCAGAAACUUAUUUUAUUUGAAGUAAAUCUAUUUUUUAAAUAAUUUAUAGAAUCUGUCCAGAGAAUUCUGACACUUCUUGAGUUUAGCAUUCACCCCCACUAGAGGGCGCCACAUCUCCCUCUCAUUGUUGAACUAUCUGCAGAUAAAGUAGCUGUGUCUGGAUGAGGCAUGUUGUUCACAUGCAGACUUGUAAAACAUGAAUGAGGGACGACCCAUCUGUCUGUAUCUGUCCGCUUCAGGCCUGUCAGGUCACCUCGCCAUGUUUCUGCCACGUCUGGAACGGAUGAAGAUAAAAGUCUGGAUUUUAGCUCCCUGCAUCCAAACAGCUGCAGUUUUUAGGUCCUCCAGCUUAUAAAACCUGAAGUUUGUCCACUAAAACUGGCUCCUCUAAAUGUCUUUUAAGUCCGAAAGGAUUUCAGAAAUCCAUCGUUUUCCAUUUAUUGAGUUUAUCACAGUAAAAGUUUGACUAACAAAUACAGACAUUAAUCACAGUCAUGAAAUGACAUUUCUAAAACACCAAACUGUUAAACAAUGCGGUGUCCAGCUGCAGCUACUGAGCAUGACAGGGCAGCUGUGGGUCACAGCGCCCCCAUCAGGAGAGGACUGUCAAUGCAAGCUGUAGAUUCAGACCCAUUUUCAUUCCAAACCUUUUUUUUUUUUACUAGUGACAUGGACACAUGCCACAGUUUUUACCCCUUUAUAGUUCAGGGGUCUCCCACCUUUAAUGCUAAAU